GCUGACUGAACACACUGUGAGAAGGAGGAUAUAAGCUACCUUCUGAAGACCGUCCGAAAGAAACAGAAGACAGCCUGUUGCUUAGCAGCUUUACUGUGCAAAGCCAUUCUACAGUUCUCCCUG